ACCAAAGGCAGGNGUUUGUAGUGAAUUUAAAGCUAAUGAAGUGCAUAGGAAAAACUUGAGGAGUCAGGUUGAUAGAGUAGCAUGGACUUGUUAAUCUCAGCCUGAUCUUGUCAGUAACAGCAGAGCAGAGGGAGAGAGAGAGGAACUCCGGCUGGGGCAGCGCUCCAAAGCCCUGACAGGCUUCAGCCAGAGAACUUGGUGUUGUCUUCAGCAAGGGUUCCACCAACACAGCCUCCUCCAGGAAAGGAAGGCCUCUCCAGAACCAAUCUCUCCAGAAGCCAGGAAAGGUAGGCCAGCUGCUCAUCCAGGGAAAGUGUCUCCUCCUUCAGUCCAGCUCACCAACACAGAGUCUCCCAAGACGAACUCCAAAGGAGAAGACCAAAGGCCAAGUACAAAAGACGAAGUCACAAGGUGAAAAGAAGAGGCCAGGCUGAUAUUGAGUUUGCUCCUGUGUUGGGUGAAUUGAGGACAAAGCUGGACAACUUAUGCUCAUGGCUCUCCUAGAGAAGCACAGAGUGAAGCGGCAGCGCCUUGACCGUCUAUUUGAAGUAAAAAUUGGAACAUUUGUUUGUCUCUGGUCCAAUAAUAUAUUUCCUGUUAUCCAUAAAUCUUCAAAGUUCUUAUCAACAUUAACUCAGGAAUCAUAUAUGCAAAAUAUUCUAGAACUCUGGAUUGAAAUUGCUCCAGGCCUAAUUGAUUUGAAUUCAUUUAAGAGUACCUUCUUAUAA
rnacentral:lncRNA from 1 species